GAUGAACGCUGGCGGCGUGCCUAAUACAUGCAAGUCGAGCGAACGGACGAGAAGCUUGCUCCUCUGAUGUUAGCGGCGGACGGGUGAGUAACACGUGGAUAACCUACCUAUAAGACUGGGAUAACUUCGGGAAACCGGAGCUAAUACCGGAUGAUAUUUUGAACCGCAUGGUUCAAAAGUGAAAGACGGUCUUGCUGUCACUUAUAGAUGGAUCCGCGCUGCAUUAGCUAGUUGGUAAGGUAACGGCUUACCAAGGCAACGAUGCAUAGCCGACCUGAGAGGGUGAUCGGCCACACUGGAACUGAGACACGGUCCAGACUCCUACGGGAGGCAGCAGUAGGGAAUCUUCCGCAAUGGGCGAAAGCCUGACGGAGCAACGCCGCGUGAGUGAUGAAGGUCUUCGGAUCGUAAAACUCUGUUAUUAGGGAAGAACAUAUGUGUAAGUAACUGUGCACAUCUUGACGGUACCUAAUCAGAAGGCCACGGCUAACUACGUG
rnacentral:rRNA from 1 species